rnacentral:rRNA from 1 species
GUACACGCUGUGACUAGCAUAUCAAUAAGCGGAGGAAAAGAAACUAACAAGGAUUCCCCUAGUAACGGCGAGUGAAGCGGGAAGAGCUCAAAUUUGAAAUCUUAAAGGGUUUCCCUUUACGAAUUGUAGUUUAAAGAAGUGUUUUCUGUUGAGGUUUUGGUAAAAGUUCUUUGGAAUAGGACAUCAUAGAGGGUGAGAAUCCCGUAUUUGACCUUUACUUUCAACUUUGUGAUACACUUUCAAAGAGUCGGAUUGUUUGGGAAUGCAGUCCAAAAUGGGUGGUAAAUUUCAUCUAAAGCUAAAUAUUGGCGAGAGACCGAUAGCGAACAAGUACCGUGAGGGAACGAUGAAAAGAACUUUGAAAAGAGAGUUAAACAGUACGUGAAAUUGUCAAAAGGGAAGCGUUUGACACCAGUGUUGUUUUUCUGAAAAUCAAUUAAAGAACUGUUUAUGCUAAGUUGUUUAGACUUUAUCAGCUAUCUGUUUAGUUUUGAGCUUUUCUUUAAUGCACUUUUCAGUUAACAAGUCAACAUCAAUUUCUUUUGCUGUAAAAAAGCUUGAGGAAGGUGGCUUGAGAUCCGUCUUAAGUGUUUAUAGCCUCUUGCCUAUGCAGUCGGAGAGAUUGAGGUCUGCAGCGUAGAUCCUUCGGGGCUAAAUGCAUUUGUGCUAAGUUAUAGCAUUUUAUAGACAACUUGUUGACUAUGAUUUGUCUUGUAGCUUACUCGCUUAUGUUAUUUUACCUACGCUUAGGAUGUUGAAGAUGUAGCACAUCAU